rnacentral:rRNA from 1 species
UACGUAGGGUGCAAGCGUUGUCCGGAAUUAUUGGGCGUAAAGAGCUCGUAGGCGGCUCGUUGCGUCGGCUGUGAAAACCCGCAGCUUAACUGUGGGCCUGCAGCCGAUACGGGGCGGGCUGGAGUUCGGUAGGGGGAGACUGGAAUUCCUGGUGUAGCGGUGGAAUGCGCAGAUAUCAGGAGGAACACCGGUGGCGAAGGCGGGUCUCUGGGCAGUAACUGACGCUGAGGAGCGAAAGCGUGGGGGAGCGAACAGG